rnacentral:rRNA from 1 species
UACGGGGGGGUGCGAGCGUUGUCCGGAAUCACUGGGCGUAAAGGGCGCGUAGGUGGUUUUGAUAAGGGUGUGGUGAAAGUCCGGAGCUCAACUCCGGAUCUGCCGUGCCGACUGUCAAACUCGAGGGCUGUAGAGGCAGACGGAAUUCCGGGUGUAGCGGUGGAAUGCGUAGAGAUCCGGAGGAAGACCGGUGGCGAAGGCGGUCUGCUGGGCAGUUUCUGACACUGAGGCGCGACGAGCGUGGGGGAGCAAACAGG